CAGCCGCCGCGGUAAUACGUAGGGUGCAAGCGUUAAUCGGAAUUACUGGGCGUAAAGCGUGCGCAGGCGGUUUUGUAAGACAGAGGUGAAAUCCCCGGGCUCAACCUGGGAACUGCCUUUGUGACUGCAAGGCUAGAGUACGGCAGAGGGGGAUGGAAUUCCGCGUGUAGCAGUGAAAUGCGUAGAUAUGCGGAGGAACACCGAUGGCGAAGGCAAUCCCCUGGGCCUGUACUGACGCUCAUGCACGAAAGCGUGGGGAGCAAACAGGAUUAGAUACCCCAGUAGUCCCUGUCUUCUUAUU
rnacentral:rRNA from 1 species